AGUGAACGCUAGCGGCAUGCCUAACACAUGCAAGUCGAACGGCAGCACAGUAAGAGCUUGCUCUUACGGGUGGCGAGUGGCGGACGGGUGAGGAAUACAUCGGAAUCUACUCUUUCGUGGGGGAUAACGUAGGGAAACUUAUGCUAAUACCGCAUACGUCCUACGGGUGAAAGCAGGGGUUCUUCGGACCUUGUGCGAUGGAAUGAGCCGAUGUCGGAUUAGCUAGUUGGCGGGGUAAAGGCCCACCAAGGCGACGAUCCGUAGCUGGUCUGAGAGGAUGAUCAGCCACACUGGAACUGAGACACGGUCCAGACUCCUACGGGAGGCAGCAGUGGGGAAUAUUGGGCAAUGGGCGCAAGCCUGAUCCAGCCAUACCGCGUGAGUGAAGAAGGCCUUCGGGUUGUAAAGCCCUUUUGUUGGGAAAGAAAAGCAGCAGGUUAAUACGCCGCUAUUCUGACGGUACCCAAAGAAUAAGCACCGGCUAACUUCGUG
rnacentral:rRNA from 1 species